GGGUUAGGGGUGGUGGGAGGGAUAGGCCAGUUUAAACAGGUGUGUUUUGAGUUUGGACUUGAAGAGGGGGAGGGAGUCUAUGUUGCGGAUGUGUGAUGGUAAAGAGUUCCAGAGUCGGGGGGCAGAGCGACUGAAAGCUCUGCCCCCCAUAGUUCUGAGGUGAACAGGGGGCACAGAGAGGUGGAGAGAGGAAGAGGAACGGAGGUGGCGUGUUGGAGUGGCGAUGUGGAGGAGGUCAGACAGGUAAGGAGGGGCGAGGUUGUGGAUGGCUUUGAAGGUAUACAGGAGGAUUUUGAACUGGAUUCGUAGAGGGACCGGGAGCCAGUGAAGCUGCUGAAGGAUGGGGGUGAUGUGGUUGGACGAAGGGGUUUUGGUGAUGAUACGGGCAGCGGAGUUGUGGACCAGUUGAAAUUUAUGGAGAGACGUGUAAGGGAGACCGAAGAGGAGGGAGUUGCAGUAAUCCAGACGGGAGGUGACGAGACUGUGGACGAGGAUGGAGGUGGUGUUGGGGGAG